GUAUUGUAUUGCGUUAAACGCGGCAUGCAUUCCAUGAGACUUUGUUACAGUGUGUGCGUAAAGACGUAGAACCACGGCAGGAGGACAGAGUCCCCCAUAUGCCACAGAACUACAGAGGGUGCACAGGUGUGAGUGGAUGUGUAAACAGAGUGUGCACAUGCCCCCAUUUGAGGACCAGCAACAACUCGUGUUGACAAUUCGGUAAUGAUCCUUCCGCAGGUUCACCUACGGAAA
rnacentral:misc_RNA from 1 species